rnacentral:lncRNA from 1 species
AACAGAUGCUUCACUAUUAAAAUAUUUUCCCCCCAAGUCUCAAAUAUUGAAGAAUCUCUAACCAGGGACACCAGUCCCUACGAAGACCUUGGGCGAUUUUGAAGUGCGGGCACCUCGAUUCCCCGAAUCUGUAGUGUGGCUGGUAUCGGUGUUCCCCUGGUUUAACUAGCCUGUUUGAUGGGGAAAUUGAGGCAGAGAAGCCAAGACAUGUGCUAAAGGUCAUGCAGGCUAUGAAUGGAGCUGGAAUGUGAACGCAGGCCAUAUGACCCCAGAGCCCAUGUUCUUGAACCCUUAGAAAGACAGCAGCAACACACCUGGUGCAGCAGCUGCUUAGUUGGAGUGGCUGACAAGG